rnacentral:rRNA from 1 species
AUGCUUCUCCUUUCUGUAUGGAGCUGGGAGCGUCUGCCUGUUGGACGCCCGAAGAGCGUCAAGUUCAAUCCUUGGGAUGAAGAUGGCGAUUUACGGCGCCCCACAUGGGCUUACAAGUGGGAUGUGGUAUCCGAGAUGAUGAACGAUGUCAAUCUCAUGUACCAAAAUUACAUUCCCAAGUUGGACACGAUUACGCCUGAGCAGGUAACGAGGUCAUUACUUCAGUCAUUUCUCAUGCUUGCCUGA